GCCGAUGAUAUGACUGUCUCAAAAUACGUCAGUGCUUUACUCAGUAAUUGACAGUUUCGGACAUCUGCGCUUCAAACUAUAACUAUAGUUCAAACCAUGUGGAUGAUUCGAUCUUGCCUAUGAUUCAAACGUUUGUUAAACUCUAUAAGACACGACUCAACUAUCGUAAAAUUCGCAACAAGACGCUAGAAUCCUGAUCAAAUGCAACUUUAUCCAUCACAAAAGGUCAGGUCAGCAUGGCAACAACUGUUCUAGCAGUCCCAGAACAAGAGCCCCAUAAGAACAAAAAAGACUGCGAUUGUGUGCCAAGAAGAGUCACAUACAAGGACUUAAUGAGGGCUACAAGAAGUGUAUUGCACCAAAUGGUAAAGCAAAUCGUUCAAUUGAACUCAAAUUCUACCACAACUGAAAGACAUAGGCUUCACUUGUAUAUCAAAAAUUACAAAUUCCAAAAGCAAAAUAAGAGAGUGAAGAUGAUGUUACUCACUGACAUAAGAUGUUGGGCAGGUUUUUUUUUGGAGGCCUGAAAUAAAUUGAGUAUACCUUUCUACUCUUAACACUAAAAUGCUGGCUUGCAAAUAGGAAUCUCGAUGCCUGUGUUAGAUCGAUCAAUACAAGCUAAAUCCAAAAAACUGGCUAAUGAUAAUGGCCAGGCCAAGGGCAAUUGCAAUCAGAGAUGAAAUCCAAGUGAGUUUCUCAGUAAUUCUAGGUAUUCGAUCCUUUAAUGCCUGACUACAUGAGCCUAUAAAUACUGUAUAGCUUCCCAUUGCAACCACAGUCCCCAAUAGGAACAUGACUAGAAAUGCAGCACCAGCCAAGCGCGAAGGCAAUGCAAGCGCAGGCAAGACCAUCAUCAAUGCAUCUGGUUGCAAUCCAUGGACAAUCCCAGUGGCAAAAGUAGCAAAGCCUAUCUUCUUCUUCCCCACUGUUGGGUUUUCUAAUGUUUCAUAAACACUAACAUCACACUCGCCAUUUUCAAGGGCAACACAUGGGUUUGGGGCUUCUGAAGCUUCCCUAAUUCCCAUAGCACCAAUAACAAGUAGUGUAAAACCAACUACUCUUGUGCCCCAAGUUCUGAUAAUCUCAAUGUGGAGCUGAUCCUUUAGCAAUAGAAACAACAAGCCAAAUAUGACCUGACCAGCAUCAUGGCCACAACCCCAAAGAGCCCCAACGACAGCACUUUCCAUUCGGGAACGGCCAAUUGAAAGUGGAGCCAAAGCAGCAAGGUGGUCUGGUCCUGACAGUGUAUGUAAGCAACCAGCAAGGAAACCAGUCCACGCACUACUUAAUAAUUCAGUACGCAACAGUUUUGCCCCAACUGCAGCAGCAGCAACAGGACCCCCAGUCUUUGCAGCAGUUUGAAAGGUUGCAAAUGCUGGUGAAGCAAAAACUGGGUGGAUUAAGAACAUGAUGACAGCUGAGAGUAAUAUAAACGUCCCCAGAUUAACUGCCUUUUGUUGCACAGAAGCUCCAUUUGCGAUCUGUUGGGGAAAAUGGGAUUUUGGAAUUGACCCAGUUCGCGAGUAAACCGGGGGAGGACAUAGAGAGGGCAGUUUAAUUGAAGGGGUUGAUGGGUUCUCAUGACUGCAGGAAACUAAGUUGAGUCUCCUGAACCCAGGGCGUUCUAGAGAGGGAAAACCAAGUUUGGGCAAGUCAAAUCGUCGAAGUGGAGGGAGAAAUGGGUUGGGUUUAAGGUGGAAUUUGAGAGUAGGAGUAGGAGAAGAAGAGUGUAGAAGCCUCUCCAUGGCCUCUCUCCGUCUUUCUCUCUAUGAAACGUAAAGCUUCGGUAGAGGGAGAGGGACAGAGAGGACGAAGGAGGACUACGGAUGUGGGGUUGGUGAGGAUAGAGUUUUGGCCGAUGAGAGUGCUGGCGGAAAAAUAUAGAAUAGGAAUGAUCCUCUUCUUGUUAGAGCACAAGUUCAACAGUUUACCACCGUUCCCCCGAUUAUGGCGUAACGAGCCAAUGACAUGUUUCCAAACAAGUUCAAUUUUCUUUCUUUUCUCCUUUUCAUUGAUGGUUGCUUAAUCUAGUUUCCCCGCG
rnacentral:misc_RNA from 1 species